UACGUAGGGUGCAAGCGUUGUCCGGAAUUAUUGGGCGUAAAGAGCUCGUAGGUGGCCUGUCGCGUCGGCUGUGAAAACUCGGGGCUCAACUCCGAGCUUGCAGUCGAUACGGGCAGGCUAGAGUUCGGCAGGGGAGACUGGAAUUCCUGGUGUAGCGGUGAAAUGCGUAGAGACCCGGAGGAACACCAGUGGCGAAGGCGGCUUCCUGGUCUGCGACUGACGCUGUGGCGCGAAAGCUAGGGGAGCAAACGGG
rnacentral:rRNA from 1 species